UGCAAUUAUCCCGGCAUCAGCUUCCAGCGCUCCCACGGAAUACCCUGUGCAAGAAGCGCAAACAGGUUCGUUCCGUAAGUGCCGAGUGGCGCAAGUAGCAGACUCGUUCGCACAGUCUCUACGCAAGUACCCCCGAGCUCUGCCGGAGUUUGCUCGCUCCUCUGAAGUCAUAGAGCGAUUGCUAUCCUCCACGCUUGCUAAACGACUCAGUAAAUCGAAAAAGAGUCAUUCGAAACGUAACAAGAAGAACAAGAGCCACCAUGAGGUCCCCUGCCUCAAGAAACUUCACCUGUACCCGCGGCGCCAAAGAAUCGCGUUCGACUGCAGCAAGACAGCAGCUCAAGUUGCUAUGAACAUCCG